rnacentral:tRNA from 1 species
GCCUGGGUGGCUCAGUGGUUGAGCAUCUGGCUUUGGCUCAGGGCGUGAUCCUGGGUCCAGAGAUCGAAUCCCACCUCGGGCU